rnacentral:lncRNA from 1 species
UUAAACGUACAAUUCUGAACAAUCAUCUUUAACUUUUAAUCAGCUAUUUCAGUUCUUAUAAACUAUAGGCCUUCAAAUAUUCGGCUUUUGGUGGUUCAUGCGGAAAUUAAAUCCACAAAUACACUUCGGAGUCCUGGGUUGAGUUCAAUAUCGUAGCAGCUACGUAUAGUGCUACGUAGAUUUUGACUAUUGAACGUGUAGCUAUAGACUAGUUGCUACAUAGAUAUUGAUAGCAGCUACGUAGCCGCUACGAUAUUGAACUCAACCCAGGAUUUUUUAACGUGCUGUCUAUUGUUUAUCGAU